rnacentral:rRNA from 1 species
UACGAAGGGGACUAGCGUUGUUCGGAAUUACUGGGCGUAAAGCGCACGUAGGCGGAUUUGUAAGUCAGGGGUGAAAUCCCGGGGCUCAACCUCGGAACUGCCUUUGAUACUGCAAAUCUCGAGUCCGAUAGAGGUGGGUGGAAUUCCUAGUGUAGAGGUGAAAUUCGUAGAUAUUAGGAAGAACACCGGUGGCGAAGGCGGCCCACUGGAUCGGUACCGACGCUGAGGUGCGAAAGCGUGGGGAGCAAACAGG